rnacentral:rRNA from 1 species
GACUGGCGGCACGCCUAACACAUGCAAGUCGAACGAAGUAGCAAUACUUAGUGGCAGACGGGUGAGUAACAUGUGGGUAUCUGCCCUUUGGCCUGGAAUAACACGAGGAAACUUGUGCUAAUACCGGAUAAGUCUUUACGGAGAAAGCUUUAUGCACCAUUGGAUGAGCCUGCACUUGAUUAGUUUGUUGGUGGGGUAAUGGCCUACCAAGACUGUGAUCAAUAGCUGAUUUGAGAGGAUGAUCAGCCACAUUGGGACUGAGACACGGCCCAAACUCCUACGGGAGGCAGCAGUGGGGAAUCUUGCACAAUGGAGGAAACUCUGAUGCAGCGAUGCCGCGUGAGUGAAGAAGGCCUUUGGGUUGUAAAGCUCUUUCGUCGGGGAAGAAAAUGACUGUACCCGAAUAAGAAGGUCCGGCUAACUUCGUGCCAGCAGCCGCGGUAAUACGAAGGGACCUAGCGUAGUUCGGAAUUACUGGGCUUAAAGAGUUCGUAGGUGGUUGAAACAGUUGGUGGUGAAAUCCCAUAGCUUAACUCUGGAACUGCCAUCAAAACUUUUCAGCUAGAGUAUGAUAGAGGAAAGCAGAAUUUCUAGUGUAGAGGUGAAAUUCGUAGAUAUUA